GACGGAGGAUGCAAGUGUUAUCCGGAAUCACUGGGCGUAAAGCGUCUGUAGGUGGUUUAAUAAGUCAACUGUUAAAUCUUGAGGCUCAACCUCAAAAUCGCAGUCGAAACUAUUAGGCUAGAGUAUAGUAGGGGUAAAGGGAAUUUCCAGUGGAGCGGUGAAAUGCGUAGAGAUUGGAAAGAACACCGAUGGCGAAGGCGGCGUUCUGGACUGCAACUGACACUGAACGACGAAAGCCAGGGGAGCAAACGGG
rnacentral:rRNA from 1 species